UGGUGGAGUGAUUUGUCUGGUUAAUUCCGUUAACGAACGAGACCUCGACCUGCUAAAUAGUUUGUUAUACUCAUUGGGUAAGACGAGCUUCUUAGAGGGACUAUCGGUUGUUAGCCGAUGGAAGUUCGAGGCAAUAACA
rnacentral:rRNA from 1 species